GAUGAACGCUGGCGGCGUGCCUAAUACAUGCAAGUCGAGCGAACAGACGAGGAGCUUGCUCCUCUGACGUUAGCGGCGGACGGGUGAGUAACACGUGGAUAACCUACCUAUAAGAUUGGGAUAACUUCGGGAAACCGGAGCUAAUACCGGAUAAUAUAUUGAACCGCAUGGUUCAAUAGUGAAAGACGGGUUUGCUGUCACUUAUAGAUGGAUCCGCGCCGCAUUAGCUAGUUGGUAAGGUAACGGCUUACCAAGGCAACGAUGCGUAGCCGACCUGAGAGGGUGAUCGGCCACAGUGGAACUGAGACACGGUCCAGACUCCGACGGGAGGCAGCAGUAGGGAAUCUUCCGCAAUGGGCGAAAGCCUGACGGAGCAACGCCGCGUGAGUGAUGAAGGUCUUCGGAUCGUAAAACUCUGUUAUUAGGGAAGACCAAAUGUGUAAGUAACCAUGCACGUCUUGACGGUACCUAAUCAGAAAGCCACGGCUAACUACGUG
rnacentral:rRNA from 1 species